rnacentral:rRNA from 1 species
GGAUCAUUACACAAAUAUGAAGGCGGGCUGGAACCUCUCGGGGUUACAGCCUUGCUGAAUUAUUCACCCUUGUCUUUUGCGUACUUCUUGUUUCCUUGGUGGGUUCGCCCACCACUAGGACAAACAUAAACCUUUUGUAAUUGCAAUCAGCGUCAGUAACAAAUUAAUAAUUACAACUUUCAACAACGGAUCUCUUGGUUCUGGCAUCGAUGAAGAACGCAGCGAAAUGCGAUAAGUAGUGUGAAUUGCAGAAUUCAGUGAAUCAUCGAAUCUUUGAACGCACAUUGCGCCCUUUGGUAUUCCAAAGGGCAUGCCUGUUCGAGCGUCAUUUGUACCCUCAAGCUUUGCUUGGUGUUGGGCGUCUUGUCUCUAGCUUUGCUGGAGACUCGCCUUAAAGUAAUUGGCAGCCGGCCUACUGGUUUCGGAGCGCAGCACAAGUCGCACUCUCUAUCAGCAAAGGUCUAGCAUCCAUUAAGCCUUUUUUUCAACUUUUGACCUCGGAUCAGGUAGGGAUACCCGCUGAACUUAAGCAUAUCAAUAAGCGGAGGAAAAGAAACCAACAGGGAUUGCCCUAGUAACGGCGAGUGAAGCGGCAACAGCUCAAAUUUGAAAUCUGGCUCUUUUAGAGUCCGAGUUGUAAUUUGCAGAGGGCGCUUUGGCUUUGGCAGCGGUCCAAGUUCCUUGGAACAGGACGUCACAGAGGGUGAGAAUCCCGUACGUGGUCGCUGGCUAUUGCCGUGUAAAGCCCCUUCGACGAGUCGAGUUGUUUGGGAAUGCAGCUCUAAAUGGGAGGUACAUUUCUUCUAAAGCUAAAUAUUGGCCAGAGACCGAUAGCGCACAAGUAGAGUGAUCGAAAGAUGAAAAGCACUUUGGAAAGAGAGUCAAACAGCACGUGAAAUUGUUGAAAGGGAAGCGCUUGCAGCCAGACUUGCUUACAGUUGCUCAUCCGGGUUUCUACCCGGUGCACUCUUCUGUAGGCAGGCCAGCAUCAGUUUGGGCGGUAGGAUAAAGGUCUCUGUCACGUACCUCCUUUCGGGGAGGCCUUAUAGGGGAGACGACAUACUACCAGCCUGGACUGAGGUCCGCGCAUCUGCU